rnacentral:rRNA from 1 species
UGCUUAACACAUGCAAGUCGAACGAGAAGCUGCUUAAUGACCCUUCGGGUGAUUUAAACAGUGGAAAGUGGCGAACGGGUGAGUAACGCGUGGGUAACCUGCCCUAUGGAAAGGAAUAGCCUCGGGAAACUGGGAGUAAAGCCUUAUAUUAUGUAGUUGUCGCAUGGCAAUGACAUGAAAACUCCGGUGCCAUAGGAUGGACCCGCGUCCCAUUAGCUAGUUGGUGAGAUAACAGCCCACCAAGGCAACGAUGGGUAACCGGUCUGAGAGGGCGAACGGUCACACUGGAACUGAGACACGGUCCAGACUCCUACGGGAGGCAGCAGUGGGGAAUAUUGCGCAAUGGGGGAAACCCUGACGCAGCAAUACCGCGUGAGUGAAGAAGGUUUUCGGAUCGUAAAGCUC